rnacentral:rRNA from 1 species
UACGAAGGGUGCAAGCGUUACUCGGAAUUACUGGGCGUAAAGCGUGCGUAGGUGGUUUGUUAAGUCUGUUGUGAAAGCCCCGGGCUCAACCUGGGAAUGGCAAUGGAUACUGGCAGGCUAGAGUGCGGUAGAGGGUAGUGGAAUUCCCGGUGUAGCGGUGAAAUGCGUAGAGAUCGGGAGGAACACCAGUGGCGAAGGCGGCUACCUGGACCAGCACUGACACUGAGGCACGAAAGCGUGGGUAGCAAACAGG